rnacentral:tRNA from 1 species
UAGCUUAAUGGUAGAGCAUCUCGCUUACAACGAGGGGGUUAGUGGUUCAAGUCCG